AAAUUGAAGAGUUUGAUCAUGGCUCAGAUUGAACGCUGGCGGCAGGCCUAACACAUGCAAGUCGAACGGUAGCACAGAGAGCUUGCUCUCGGGUGACGAGUGGCGGACGGGUGAGUAAUGUCUGGGAAACUGCCCGAUGGAGGGGGAUAACUACUGGAAACGGUAGCUAAUACCGCAUAACGUCGCAAGACCAAAGUGGGGGACCUUCGGGCCUCACACCAUCGGAUGUGCCCAGAUGGGAUUAGCUAGUAGGUGGGGUAACGGCUCACCUAGGCGACGAUCCCUAGCUGGUCUGAGAGGAUGACCAGCCACACUGGAACUGAGACACGGUCCAGACUCCUACGGGAGGCAGCAGUGGGGAAUAUUGCACAAUGGGCGCAAGCCUGAUGCAGCCAUGCCGCGUGUAUGAAGAAGGCCUUCGGGUUGUAAAGUACUUUCAGCGAGGAGGAAGGCGUUGUGGUUAAUAACCACAGCGAUUGACGUUACUCGCAGAAGAAGCACCGGCUAACUCCGUGCCAGCAGCCGCGGUAAUACGGAGGGUGCAAGCGUUAAUCGGAAUUACUGGGCGUAAAGCGCACGCAGGCGGUUUGUUAAGUCAGAUGUGAAAUCCCCGGGCUCAACCUGGGAACUGCAUUUGAAACUGGCAAGCUUGAGUCUCGUAGAGGGGGGUAGAAUUCCAGGUGUAGCGGUGAAAUGCGUAGAGAUCUGGAGGAAUACCGGUGGCGAAGGCGGCCCCCUGGACAAAGACUGACGCUCAGGUGCGAAAGCGUGGGGAGCAAACAGGAUUAGAUACCCUGGUAGUCCACGCCGUAAACGAUGUCUACUUGGAGGUUGUGCCCUUGAGGCGUGGCUUCCGGAGCUAACGCGUUAAGUAGACCGCCUGGGGAGUACGGCCGCAAGGUUAAAACUCAAAUGAAUUGACGGGGGCCCGCACAAGCGGUGGAGCAUGUGGUUUAAUUCGAUGCAACGCGAAGAACCUUACCUGGUCUUGACAUCCACGGAAGUUUUCAGAGAUGAGAAUGUGCCUUCGGGAACCGUGAGACAGGUGCUGCAUGGCUGUCGUCAGCUCGUGUUGUGAAAUGUUGGGUUAAGUCCCGCA
rnacentral:rRNA from 1 species